AUCUCUGGCUUCCUAGGACGCCAAUAAAAACUCUCGACACCUAAGCAAUAAUUCCCAACAGUCUUUUCUUUUUGGCCGAAGAGCGCGGGGAAUAAGACCAGAUGCAAAGGCCUCCUGUCUAGGUGACCGUGUUUGCGCGAGGGCUGCUAAGGAUACAGAGCGCAUCAUCCCUGAUGCACUGCACAGCACGUGUUGCUUGGCAAUAGGUGACUCCGCUGGCAUGGCUUCCUCACGGACACGAGGUGCCAAGAUUGGAGUCGGGGAGACGCCCAAGACACAUCGACACGUUAGGGCAGGUGCAGGUGUCUGCUGUGAAGGAGGCGGCAGAGACAAGGACCCAGAGGGAUGGAAGAAGGCGUUUCUGCUCAGGUGAGACGAGGGCAUCAGGGUCCAGACCUGCCAGGAACGUG
ensembl:lncRNA